GAUGAAUGCUGGCGGCGUGCCUAAUACAUGCAAGUCGAACGCAUAGCGAAAGGUGCUUGCACCUUUCAAGUGAGUGGCGAACGGGUGAGUAACACGUGGACAACCUGCCUCAAGGCUGGGGAUAACAUUUGGAAACAGAUGCUAAUACCGAAUAAAACUUAGUGUCGCAUGACACAAAGUUAAAAGGCGCUUCGGCGUCACCUAGAGAUGGAUCCGCGGUGCAUUAGUUAGUUGGUGGGGUAAAGGCCUACCAAGACAAUGAUGCAUAGCCGAGUUGAGAGACUGAUCGGCCACAUUGGGACUGAGACACGGCCCAAACUCCUACGGGAGGCUGCAGUAGGGAAUCUUCCACAAUGGGCGAAAGCCUGAUGGAGCAACGCCGCGUGUGUGAUGAAGGCUUUCGGGUCGUAAAGCACUGUUGUAUGGGAAGAACAGCUAGAAUAGGAAAUGAUUUUAGUUUGACGGUACCAUACCAGAAAGGGACGGCUAAAUACGUG
rnacentral:rRNA from 1 species